rnacentral:rRNA from 1 species
UGGGGAAUAUUGCACAAUGGGCGCAAGCCUGAUGCAGCCAUGCCGCGUGUAUGAAGAAGGCCUUCGGGUUGUAAAGUACUUUCAGCGGGGAGGAAGGGAGUAAAGUUAAUACCUUUGCUCAUUGACGUUACCCGCAGAAGAAGCACCGGCUAACUCCGUGCCAGCAGCCGCGGUAAUACGGAGGGUGCAAGCGUUAAUCGGAAUUACUGGGCGUAAAGCGCACGCAGGCGGUUUGUUGAGUCAGAUGUGAAAUCCCCGGGCUCAACCUGGGAACUGCAUCUGUUACUGGCAAGCUUGAGUCUCGUAGAGGGGGGUAGAAUUCCAGGUGUAGCGGUGAAAUGCGUAGAGAUCAGGAGGAAUACCGGUGGCGAAGGCGGCCCCCUGGACGAAGACUGACGCUCAGGUGCGAAAGCGUGGGGAGCAAACAGG